rnacentral:lncRNA from 1 species
UUUCGAGUUUCGCGGACGAAACCCCUUUUUAGGAGGGGUGAAUGUAACACACUGGACCUUUGCAAAUUGCGAGGUUCAAGUGUUUGAUCUGUGUUCCGAGCUUUGCCAGAUAUUCUGGAAGGUCGUUGACAGUGUUUUGACCUAUGGCUCGCAUCCCAAGAAUUGAGGUUUAAAGCUUGUACCAAAAUCCAAAAAGAUGGAUUGUUGGUCCUGCUCUCGGGUCAGCCUCAGCCAGGCUGUGUACCGGUACAGCCUUGAUGGUUGUACUGGUACAGGAUUUGUACCGAUACACCUUGAUGAUUGUACCGGUACACUUCGGGUUUUCUACCAACCCGAGGCUCGGGUUGGGCUGUUUCAUAGGAAGUGUACCGGUACACUUUCCCGUGUACCGGUACACUUUCCCGUGUACCGGUACACAAUGCAGACUGGGCUGUUUUCGAGGAGGGGUGUAUUUGCAAUUAUUGCAACCUCUUUAAAUACCACCCCAGCCCCUUUAGCUGCUCUUUUGAGCCCUAGACCUGUGGAGAAAAGGUGAGAACUCUUCCCCUUUGGAUUCUUCUCCAUUUUUGGUGGAUUUUAGUUGGUUUUGAUCUCUCCUUUCUUCUCCUCCUUGUUUUUUGUUGGGUUUCCUCCAUUGUUGAGACUUGGAGCUUGAAGAAGAGCUUGUUUGAGAAGAGAUCUCCAACCCUACUUGGUUUGGAGCUUGGUUUGGGGCAUCUUGUGAGGUUUGUAGCAUGUAUUUCUCUUUUCAUACAUGUUUUAGUGGAUUUGGAUCUUGUAACCCUAGAUUUUGAGAUUUAGGGUUAGAACUAGGAACUUUUGAUUUGAGGCUUCUAGAACCAAAUUGAUUGGUUUAGAAUCAUGGUUUAGGUUGGCUUUGAAGGAUUCUUACUCCCUUUUGGAAAUCAAGAGAGAUUUUCACCAUUUUCGGUGAGUUUUUAGCCCUUUCUUUGAGUUGCUUAAUGUUUGAACUCAUGAAUUGUCGUUUCGAUGUUACUCCCCUAGCCUAUCUCUUAGGGUGCUAGGAGUGAUUAUCGAAGCUUCGUUAGCGUUUCGGACGCCCGCGCGGAGCUUUUGGUGGGUUCGGCUUCAUGUGAAUAGGGGAAAAUUCCUCCUAAGGGGUUAAUAUGUGUUGUAUUAUCAUUUUGCAUGCAUUUUCAUACUAGAUAGGAUUUAUGUGAAUUUUGAAUACUUAAAAUGCAUGUGUUGCGUAUCAUGAAAAUCCUUCUCUACAUAGUAGAGCAUUAUGUGUAGUGUACAUGAAUGUUUAAAGUAUUCUCUUUUUCAAGUUGGAAAAUAUGUUGCAUGUGAGGAAGAUGGUUGAAAUAUGUAUUCAUGAAUAUUAAACUCAUGUUUGAAUAUAGUGAACUAGAAUGCCAUAAAGGGGCACUUGACUUAGCAAAUUGUGAAAUUGCAACAUAGAGACAUAGUGAUAGGCCAUCGAGACAUAUGCUAUAUUUCAUGUUUUAGACAUGACGACAUAGUGAUAGGCCAUUGAGAUAUUUUCCACAUUCCAUGUUUUAGACAUGAUGACUUGGUAUUUGAGACGGACUUUUACGCUUGCUUGCCAUUGUGCUCAUUCACACAUGCUUGUAAGGGUCGCUCCCUACAAGCCGGCACUCCGGAGAUAGCCAUCGCGACAUAUGCUCGCUCGUGCGGGAUUGGGCGCCGAAAUGGAAUGCCGUGGGGGAAGCUCAUUCCUAGAGUGGGGAUGUUGACUACCACGGGGCCAUUAGGCACGGCGCAGGCCAGACAGCCUACGGAUGGGUCUUACAUGAUUGGAACUUAGUGACAGAACAUGCCAUUUGGACUUUGACCAGAAUAGUAAACAAUGACAUUUACUAUUUAGCUUGUGGACAUUAUGUUAGUGAUGCUCGUUUAUAUUCUGUUACAGUAGCUUUAUUACUUAUGCAAUUCAUGCUAAGUAGAGAUAUCAUGUUGUAGUAAGUUACAUGUUUACUUACAUAUCGAUUCUAUUGCUUUUAUUGUUACUUACCUGUUUAGCUCUUUUGGGCCUAGUGGUGCUUUCACUGAAGUCAGUAAUUGCCACUGGGAACUAUUAUUUAAUAGUUCUCACGCCCCCGUUUCUAUGGUUUUAUUUCAGAGCCCUCUACACCGGUGGAGGCACGGGACCGCGGCAAGGGGAUCGCUUAGCUAGCUAGCGAGGAGCGUUUCUUUUGCAUUUUGGUAGUUCGCUCUCCUUUUGUUGUAGUUGAGAGAGAGAGAGUUAUGUUAGUACCUUGUAUAGAGAGACCACCUAUGUAUCUGGUUUAGCAUUUGUACUUUGGAUGUUUAUUGUACUACUUUCUAUUUUUUCUUAGUGGAUUUAGCUCUAUAUUCAUUUCGGUUAUUGUAGCAUCUAGACAUACUUGCUCUGAUACUGCUAGAUGUUUUCUUUAUCUUGCUUUAUUUAUCGUUUUAUUUUAGACGCCUUAUAUGUUUUAGACGUAUGCCGGGUCUGGGCACGUGCCGGGCGGGCUUUCGCUGGGUCCCGGGGCGUGACAACGGAACUCAUAGCAAGUAUGAUCCAUUCUUAACUCUAAGGAUAUAUAGUUCAAUCAUUGUCUUUACACUAACUCUAGUGUUCUUUACAUCACUUUAUUUUGCUAACUCUAGCAAUCAUCGUUCUUUAACUUUACUCGUUCUUUAUGCCAAACUUUGCAUUAACUUUAACCAUUAUCAUUGUUCUUUUCAUCACAUUGAUUCUUUGAUGCCACACACUAACUUUAGUGUCGACUAUAUACUUUCGAAUGCCACUCGAUCUAUGCUCAUUGUGUCUCGUUGUUCUUUUGCCUCACUUGGGUGCUCACAUUUUAUCUCAUGCAUACAUAUAGGGUUAAACAUUCAUAGGGGUUCUCAACCAUCUCAUUAGGCAAAUUGUACUCACAACAUGCAACAUUACAUUAUUCUCAUUACAUAUACCCUACUAUGCUUGCAACAAUGUAUAUAACAUAUACUCAAUUGAAUGACACACUAGGCAUAGAAGGAAGUUCAACGAGUUUGGAUAGCACCACCCACCUCGUAGGUUCUCAAAGGUGCUCCGACGAUUUUCUUGGGAUUUUUAGACACCCGGUUCGCUACCUGCGAGUUAACGAAGCCAAAUUAGGCUUAUUUGGCCGUAACUUUACAUCGGGUUUUCGUAACGUUAAUCCGAGCACACCAACGCGUCGGAAAUACCCCCAAUUAGGUUUCUAGAGGGUCAAUUGCACUUUAGAACCCUCGCAAGCAAAAGCCCCAAUUUUGGUGCCCUAGCUCAUAACAUACAUCAAACCUAGGGUUUGAUCUCAUUGGGAAGCAAAAGAAGCUUCAUUCUACGCUAAAGACUCCACAAAAACCAUCUUUAGUUCAAUCCAAACCCUAGUUUGGAUUCUACCAUGAGAGGGGUUGAAGCUCUCCUUCAAGCUUCACCUUCCACACCAUUCCAUGGUUUUGAUCUCAAAAUGAAGCAAAAGAUAGCUUCAAACACUCUAUAGGUUCUAUUAAAACCAUUUCUAGGUCCAUCCAAACCCUACUUUGAGCUUUACCACUAUUGGGGUUCAAAGCUUACCUUGUAAGCUUUCCUUUUCCAAGCUAGGGAAGGAGAGGAGGGGUCUUCUUCUCUUCCUUGCCUUCUUCUUCACCUUCUUCCUCUUCUUUUCCUUUCUUCUUCUUGUCUUCUUCUUCUCCUUCUUGUCUUCUAGAGAGAGAAAGAGAGAUGAGAGGGGGAGUGUGAGGGAGAGAAUGAGAUGAAAAGCCCUCAAAGCCCCCCACUUAACCAUUGGGUUGCACAAAUGCAAAUAGGCCCCUCAACUUUCACUUUAUUGAACUGCUUGAACUGGGCAGUUUUCGGGUUCGGGGACCGGUCUCCCAACUUGGGACCGGUCCCAGAGAGCUCUCCCGCAGCUCAGUGAGGGCCUUCGCACGAGGCAACCGGUCUCUCCCACAGAGACCGGUCUCUCGGGGACCGGUCUCUCCCCGCAGGGACCGGUUCCCGAGAGCUGGUUUUCUGGGACUUAGCCGAUUUGCAGCCUUUCUCAUUUCUCACGCGUUCGGGGACCGAUCUCUACCACCAGGGACCGGUCCCCGAGAGCUCAAAAACUGUAGUUUGCAGAUUUUUGAUUCUUUAGCUCUCGAAAACCUCCCACAACGCAUUUUUGAUCAUUUUAACACCUUCGGACUUUCCGAAGUGUACCACCCUCGCACUUUGGUCAAUUUGACUAAAGUUCGAUAUUUAUUUUUCAAAUUUUCGGUAUAUUACAUUCUCCACCCUUAAAAUAAUUUCGUCCGCGAAAUUACGCAUACCUUAACUCGUCGAUUCAAAUAGAUGUGGAUACUCUCUCCGCAUGAUCUCCUCGAGCUCCUAAGUGGCUUCUCGCGCCGCAUGGUUGCUCCAUUGGACCUUCACAUAUGGAAUUCUGCGACUCCGCAGCUUCCUUUCUUCUCGAUCGAGGAUGCACACCGGGUACUCCUCGUAAGACAUAUCUUCACGUAGCUCCACGGGCUCGUACUCCAAUAUAUGUGUCGAGUUUCGAAUAUACUUUCGGAGAUUUGACACAUGAAAAAUAUUGUGAACUCCUGCGAGUCUCGAUGGUAGUGCGAGCUUGUAUGCUACCGCACCCACACGCUCCAAUAUCUCAAACGGUCCGACAUAACAGGGACUUAGCUUCUCGUGGACCCCAAACCGCUUUACUCCUCGCAUCGGCGAUACUCUCAAAAAUACGCGGUCUCCAACCGCGAACUCUAAAUCUUUUCUUCUCUUGUCGGCAUAACUCUUUUGCCGAGAUUGUGCCGCCGCUAACCGUUGACGGGCAAGGCGAACUGUAAUGCAUUGGAAAAUUGACCUUGAGCUAAUUGUAAUCAAGUUGAUCACAAUGAUGUCAAAAUAGAAAUUAAGUGUUAAUGAACUUAAUUAGUAGAUUGAGAACAACAAUUGACUUAUUUUGGAACUGUGUAAGUGGGCUCGAAGUGAAUCGGAAGUGCCAAGUGUCACGCCCCGCCCCGAAACCACUACCAAUUUGGCACGGUUCGGUCGCGGCGACAGACCGCCGAACGGACAGCACCUCCCCUGUCCACCCAAGGCUCAACAACAGGAAUGUGUACAAGGAUUUACCCAGGACUUUAAAUUCUAAACAUACACAUUCAACGAGGGCACAAACAGUGCCAACAACGAGAAGAGCAAGUAAUCCACAAGAUAUAGUAUGUGAAAUAAAGAGAGUACUUUACUAACUAUUACAAUAGUUACAUUCUUUACAUUUACAUCAUUCUCCAAAAUGAAUACAUUUGAUCCUCAAAAUACAUAGCUCUCCAACCUCACCAUCAUGAAUCUCUCUCAAUACAUAGGUGUGCUAAUGCAAAAAGGGAAGCUACUAUACUACCACGGUCUCACUGAUCGGGCGCGAUGCCCUUGCCGCGGUCCUCUCUCGGCAACCCUGUACCUACCACUGGAAAUGGGAUGGGGUGAGAACUAUAUUCCAUAGAUUCCCAGUGGUCGGCCGCCGACUCUGCUGAUUCUCCCACUAGUGUCAAGUUGGGCAUCAGAGCAACAAACAGGUAGAUAGAUAGAUAGAUAUCUGAAAGUUUGUAAUAUGCAAGUUAGUAGCGAAAACUAUGCUUACAUAUGCCCAUAAUCAUGUAAUGUGGAUGCACUGCAUCUAAUAAAUAAGUUUUUACCAGGGCUAACAGAUGUCAUAUCCAUGUUCGAAUAGCUUAGUGUUCAAUGACAUUUAUUAACAACCUUAACUCUUUAUUUACCCAAUCUGUGGCGAGGCCUUAGGGCUGGCCAAUUACUCAGUCUUCAAAUCCCAAAGUGUGGGAAGUGGAGCUCCAAGUGACACCAGCCCGGGACCGUCUGGGGACUCAUUGGUCCGGACCUCCAAGUGGUCCUAGUUCGCGGUGACACUCGCGGACACUCGACGACAAUCCCUCCUAUGUGGGGAAUUGGAUGGCUAUACACCCUAACGCGACUGUGAGCCUAAUCUAUCCUCGAGUGAGGGAUACACUUGACAACUAGGUCAACACCAAGUCGCAGAUCUCUCAAGUAAUGGAGGCUCUACAACAGCUAGCGCUCACAUAAUCCAACUCGAAUCCUCUCCAAGUGAGGAAGCACUCUAUAACUAGAGUCAACAUCUCUCGCGGGAUCAUUUGUUCCCGACAUCCAUGCAAUGCUAUUUAGUUUUCUAAAUUCAUUGUUCACAAGGCAUUUUCUAAGGGAUCCACCUAUCCCUAGGUCCAUCGACCUCUAGUGUCAUUUACACUACAUUAAUGCCACUCGUCAUCAUUUAACAUUUGGAUGCCACUCGUGUGUUCUUUAACACUAAACACUACUUUCUAUGUCAUCAAUACCCCCAUCGGGUUCACCUCUUUUCUUUUACAUCAUAGGAUCCACGUUCCGACCCAAUCCUCACCUAUCUAAGUUACCAAGCGUUCCAAGUACACUAGGUUAUCAUUUAGAAAGCAUAAGGAAUGGAGCUACUAUGCAAUCCUACAAUGCAACAUGAAGAGAUGAGAUCAAAUGCAAUCUAAGACAUAGAAAGGAGUUCGAAAGCUUCGGGAUGACACCCCCCACCUUUUACCAACGUAGAGGUUUUAGAAGCGCUCCUCGACGAGCUUUACGAAAAGGCUUUUGCCUUCCCUAAUCCAAGAUAGCGCCGAAACGACCGUAAUUCGCCGAUUGUUCUAAGUCCGCUCGACGAAUCGCGAAAUCGACUUCGCCCCCGCGUUUGGGCACCUAUCGAUGAGGUUUACAAGGCCUCAAAUGAGAUCAAUCUCAUACUUUACAAAAUGCCCCCAUUUGGAGCCCUAGGUUUGCACAUAUAGCAAACCACCAAUAAAAUCCUAGAUUCUUGGGAUUGAUCUACUUAGAAGCAUGCUUGGGGUCCAUUUGACCCAUUCCAAAGCAUAAAAACCCAAAGCCCUAAGUUUACAAAGUAGGGUUUAGUAGCUUACCUCAAGAGCUACACCAAUGGGAAGAGGAGAGGGAGAUGGAGGUGCUCCAAGCCUUCCUCUUGAUCUCCUUCUUUUUCUCCUUCCUUAUCUUCUUCCUCUUUUCCUUCCUCUCCUUCUUGUUCUCCUUCUCCUUCUUUCCUUUCUAGAGAGAGAGGGAGAGAAAUAGAGAGAUGAGAGUGAGAGAGAGGAAUGAGAGAGUGUGAGGGAGAGAGAGGGCCCAGCCCACUCUAAUAAAGGCCAUUUUGCAUUUAGACCCCUCAACUUUUAACCCCUUGCGCAGCCCUCGCUGGGCAGUUUUCGUGCAGAGGGACCGGUCUCCCCGACUUGGGACCGGUCCCCGAGAGCUUCCCUCGGGCGCACGCGUUCGGGUACCGGUCUCUCCCCGGGAGACCGGUCCUCGGGAGACAGGUCCUCGCCUGAGAGACCGGUCCCCGAGAGCUCAAUUUUCAGGACUUAGCCAAAUCUCGGCAUUUCUCGCUGGAACCACGUUCGGGAACCGGUCCCUCACUGCCAGGGACCGGUUGCACCAUGCAACCCCGCACGCCCAGCCGAUGGGACCGGUCUCUCACCUCCAGAGACCGGUCCCCGAGAGCAACUUCAGCCCAAUAAUGCUGUUUGCAUCGUUAGCUCUCGUGGACUCAACUCCAAAGCACUUUUUGUGUUUUGGACAUUUUUAACUUCCCCAGAGGGUAUUCUCUCAACAAAUAGUCGAUCCUGGACGAAGUAUAACUCUCGAAUUUCGAGAAUUCACUUCCUUACAUUCUCCCCUCCUUAAAAGGAGUUUCGUCCUCGAAACGAACAAAUUCUUUAACUUUUAAUUUAAACUUAUACCUCACUCCUCAAACAGAUGAGGAUGGUGCUUUCUCAUCAGAUCCUCGAGUUCCCAGGUGGCCUCGCGAUCAUCAUGAUUGCUCCACCUGACCUUUACAUAGGGAAUUUCUCGAUUCCUCAACUUUCGCACCUCUCGGGCGAUAAUUCCUACCGGAAACUCUUCAUAGCUCAAGUCUCCUUGAAGUUCCGGCGGUUCAUAUAGCAUCGCAUGCUCCGGGUCGUGAAUAUACUUGCGGAGAUUGGAGACAUGGAACACAUUGUGCACAUCCGCAAGUUUCGGCGGUAAAGCAAGCCGAUACGCCACCGUACCAACUCGCUCCAAUAUCUCAUAUGGCCCAAUGUACCGGGGACUCAGUUUUCCCCGUACUCCAAACCGCUUCACACCACGCAUUGGUGAAACCUUCAGAAAUACGCGGUAACCCACCGCGAACUCUAUAUCUCGUCGGCGCCUAUCUGCAUAGCUUUGCUACCUCGACUGCGCCGUGAGCAAUCUCUUGCGAGCAAGGCGGACUUUCUCCUCCGCUUCUCGCAACACAUCAGGGCCGAACUCUGCCCGUUCACCUACAUCGCUCCAAUGUAUAGGAGACCGACACGUCCGCCCAUAAAGAGCUUCGAACGGUGCCAUCUCUAUACUCGCAUGAUAACUGUUAUUGUAGGCGAACUCGGCCAUAGGUAGGUGAUCACACCAACUUCCCUUAUAGUCGAUGACACACGCUCGCAACAUAUCCUCCAGAGUUUGAAUGGUUCUCUCUGUUUGCCCAUCGGUUUGAGGAUGAAAUGCGGUACUAAAAUCGAGCCGUGUGCCAAGGGCUUCUUGCAGGCUUUUCCAAAAGUGUGAAGUGAACCGGGGGUCACGAUCCGACACGAUCGAUUUCGGCACCCCAUGCAGUCUCACUAUCUCGUCAAGAUAUACCCGCGCUAACUUGUCACCCGACCACGUGGUGUGGAUCGGCAAGAAGUGAGCCGACUUCGUCAAUCGGUCCACAAUUACCCAAAUUGCAUCGUGGCCGCCCGUUGAGCGAGGCAAGCUGACCACGAAGUCCAUCGAUAUAUCUUCCCAUUUCCAAACGGGGAUUGGUAGGCUUUGAAGCUUUCCCGCUGGAAAUCUACGCUCUGCCUUCACUUGCUGGCAUGUUAAGCACUUCGCCACAAAGCGUCCAACAUCACCCUUCAUUCCCGGCCACCAAUAGUGCAUUUUUAGUCCUUGAUACAUCUUGGUGCCGCCCGGGUGAUCAGCAUACGGAGAUCUGUGUGCUUCUUGUAGAAUCAACUCGCGAAGCUCUCCAUCCUUCGGCACACACCAUCGGUUUCUAAACCGAAGCGCACCAUCGGCGUUUAUACUAAAAUCGCCGCCUCGACCAUCCUCGAUGUUUCGCCGCACCUUCUGGAGUUCUGGGUCCGCAGGUUGCAGAUCUUUAAUCCUCUCCAACAAGGUCGGUUGGACAACGAGUGCCAUCAACUGGGCUGGAAUCUCGGGAGGAACCACUUCAAGGUCCAAUCGCUUCAUAUCCAGCCACAGGGGUGUUUGCUGGGUAACAUCAAAAGCGAGAUUCUUCGCCGACUUUCUACUCAGCGCAUCCGCAACCACAUUUGCCUUCCCGGGGUGGUAGAGGAUAUCGACAUCAUAAUCCUUUAACAACUCCAACCACCGCCGCUGACGCAUAUUGAGCUCCUUCUGAGUAAACAAGUACCUUAAGCUCUUGUGGUCGGUAUAAAUCUCACAAUGGGCACCAUAUAAGUAGUGCCUCCACAGCUUCAGGGCGAAAAUUACCGCCGCCAGCUCCAAGUCGUGGAUGGGGUAAUUCUUCUCAUAGCUCUUCAGCUGACGGGAUGCAUAAGCAAUCACCUUCCUGUUUUGCAUCAAUACACACCCCAACCCAAGAUAGGAAGCAUCACUGUAGACUACGAAGUCUUCGCCUUCCACCGGUAGAGCGAGCACCGGAGUUGAAGUCAAUCUUUGCUUCAACUCUUUGAAACUUCGGUCGCACUCCUCGCUCCAAACAAACUUGGUGCCUUUCUGGGUCAGGCGGGUAAGUGGAAUUACUAUCUUGGAGAAGCCUUCCACAAACCGCCUAUAAUAGCCCGCCAAGCCCACGAAGCUUCGAACCUCCGUGACGUUCGUCGGGCGCGGCCAAUCCUUGAUUGCCUCAACUUUCCUCGGGUCUACUGAAACUCCACCCGCGGAAAUCACAUGCCCUAAGAAGGCGACUUCGCGAAGCCAGAAGUCACACUUCUUUAGCUUAGCAUAUAGCUUCUCCUCCCGAAGGACUUGAAGCAGUUUCCUCAAAUGUUCGGCAUGUUCCUCGUCACUUCGAGAAUAGACCAAUAUGUCGUCUAUAAAGACCACGACAAAUUGGUCCAGAUACUCUCUGAAGACACGGUUCAUCAAAUCCAUAAACGCCGCUGGAGCAUUCGUGAGUCCAAAUGGCAUAACCGUGAACUCGUAGUGUCCAUACCGCGUACGAAACGCGGUCCUUUGCACAUCCUCCGGUUUGAUCUUCAAUUGAUGGUAGCCGGAUUACAAGUCUAUUUUCGAGUACACACACGACCCUUGCAACUGAUCGAACAGGUCAUCGAUUCAGGGUAGUGGGUACUUGUUCUUGAUCGUGACUCUAUUCAAUUCUCGAUAAUCCACGCAGAGCCUAAACGAUCCAUCCUUCUUCCUCACGAAUAACACCGGGGCUCCCCACGGUGAUACACUCGGCCGGAUAAAUUGCUUGUCAAGGAGGUCUUGUAGUUGACUCCUCAACUCCCUUAGUUCCGCCGGCGCCAUUCGGUACGGAGCCUUCGAGAUCGGCGCGGUACCGGGAACCAAGUCUAUGACGAACUCGAUCUCCCGAUCCGGUGGUAUCCCCAGCAACUCUGCGGGAAACACAUCCGGGAACUCCCGCACUACCGAGAUCUCCUCCAACAUUGGAGUGACUCGUUCCACCUCUACAACGGUCGCCAAGAACGCUGCACAACCGUUGCUCACCAACUUUCUUGCUCUCGUCGCCGACACCGUCGCGACGAAACACGUGCUCUGGCAAGCUCGAUAGGUGAAUUCUUUCUGUCCUGGCCCACGAAACGUGAUCACCCUGCUCUUGCAGUCAAUCGUGGCGUGGUAUUUCGAGAGCCAGUCCAUACCCAGAAUAACAUCAUAAGCCUCAAGCUUCUGGAGUCCUAGUGUCCGAAUAGGCAUUAUCCAUUCGCCUAUUUGUACCGGACACGAGGCGCACUCUGUGUAGGUAUUGAAUGUCGAUCCAGGGCCCUCCACUCGCCACUUGUCACUCGCUUCUAUAUGUAUGCCAUGCAUGCGUGCGAAUGAUCUACUUAUGAAUGAAUGCGUGGCUCCUGUAUCAAAUAGAGCCCUGGAGCGAACUCCGUUAAUCAAAACCAUACCUGCCACAAGGCGAUGCUCCUCCGCCUCCGCAGGUUCCUCGGCCUGAACCUGAGCUGCAAAUACCCGUCCGCUCGGGGCCGAUCGCGCCAUCUCAGGUUGACGCGGUGUCAUCGCGCGUCCUGUCGACGCGGCCGUCGGUGGAGCUCCUCCAUAAUAUGCCGGAAUCGCCGGCGCCGAUGCAAUCGAUGGGGCAGGUGAGGCUCCUCCUCCCGGGCAGUCCCGAAUGAAGUGCCCCGGUUGCCCACACUUGUAGCACUUGCCCCGGCCUUGUUCACAGCGCGAAACUGGGUGGUCUCCGCAGCAUACAAUGCAUCGCCGCGCUCCACCGUUUUUCUGUUGAGCGCGCGGGUACUUCGGGGGUCUCUUAUAACGUGCUUGACCACCCGAACUACCGCCGCCUUGGCGUUUCUUGCCCUUAUCCUUGGACUCCGCCAAAAGCUCACGCUUCUCCCGCACGUGGGCAUCUCCGUGCUCCGCCCAUAGGGCUCGAUCAAAGACCUCAGCAAAGGUCGUGAGCUUGAGUAUUUGCACGGCCUUGUAGAUUCCCGGCCGAAGUCCUCGCAAGAACCACUCGGCCCGGUCCCGGUCAUCCUUUACAACAUCCGGGACACAAUCUAUGAUGUGGGAGAAUUCCUGUUCAUACUCCGCCACUGGGCGGUCCCCUUGCUCUAGCUUGCCGAACUUCUCCUUGAGCUUCCGCUUCAAUGUAUCGGGGAAGUAGUUGGCGAACAUCUCCCGCUUGAAUUCCUCCCACAGCAUCGGCGGAAGGCCGGGAAGCCGAUCCCACUUGACGCGCUUCCACCAAACCUUUGCCGCCCUUUCCAAGCAAUGGGUGGCGAGAUACACCUUGUCCCUCUCCAAGGUACGCAAGUCGUCGAAGAGGGUUUCCAUCGAGUCGAUCCAAGACUCGACCAUUGCCGGUUCCACCUUCUCACCCUCAAAGGUCGGCGGAUGGAACUUGUUGAACUUGAUAAGAGCCGCUAGCGCACGCUCUCCUUCCACGUCUUCGGCCGUCACGUCGGGUGUAGUCGAUCCCGACGCCGCCGGUGGCACGAUCGCCGGCGGGGGACGCGCCGCCACCGGGACCGCCGCUAUGCCCUCACCCUCAGCUGGCUCAGGUACACGAGCCGAGGGCGCGGGCACAUCGCGUCCGUCCGUCGCCGUUGCGGCCGCUGCCGCUGCCUGCCGCUCCAAGAGCUCCUGGAGCCGCUCGAAUCGGUUCUCCUGGCGCUGCACCACAUCGGUCAGCGCGGACACUUGCGCUUGCAACCGAUCCAUCACGCUCGGUUCUCCCUGCUCGGGCACCUCAGGAGUCGGUGCCGGAGUAGAUCUACGUGUGUAGCGUCUUGGAGACAUUAGUCCCUGAAACGCAAAUACUCGGUUAAUCAUCUUAACCCGUUAACCUCGUCGCAAUUACGACACAUGACAACUUAAUGGCAAAAUCGGGCGGAAGCAUACAAGUGUACUCGUUCUAGGCUCUUGGCAUCAUGUCGUCGGCCGCCGACACAACCACCUCAAGAUAAGAACUUAUACCACUUGAAUUCGUCUCUAAUCACAACUAGAGACCUAUACCCACUUCGACCCAAUCGAAUUGACUUCCGCCAUCGUUAUAGGUUCACGUUCCGCUCACGCACCUAUAACCUUAGGGCUCACCAACCUAGGGUCUCCUAGGUCAUCCUAGACUUUCUCUCUUUACUUGCUCUCAUUGCUCUGAUACCACAAAAGACUGUCACGCCCCGCCCCGAAGCCACUACCAAUUUGUCACGGUUCGGUCGCGGCGACAGACCGCCGAACGGACAGCACCUCCCCUAUCCGCCCAAGGCUCAACAACAGGAAUGUGUACAAGAAUUUACCCAGGACUUUAAAUUCUAAACAUACACAUUCAACGAGGGCACAAACAGUGCCAACAACGAGAAGAGCAAGUAAUCCACAAGAUAUACGAGUGAAAUAAAGAGAGUACUUNNNNNNNNNNNNNNNNNNNNNNNNNCGAAGGCUUAAGGAGCGGAUUUGCCGCAAUGUGCAAUUAGGCGCUCCAAAAGUGGAUUUUGAUACAUAAGAGGGUUUUCUUCUCAGAUUGACCCUUCUCUAACCUAAUUGUGGUCUAUGCAACGCUACGGUGCGCUCGUUCGUCGAUCCGACGGUGUUACGCCGAAUAUUUGAGGAUCGAAGCGUUAAGCGGUACGAUGCCGCAGCUCGCCAGGCGAAAGCUUGCCAAAUCUGGAAAUGGAAUCGUAGCUGUGGUGUUUUGGGGAAUAAAUCCCAGAAUAGACGUAUGCGCGGAUGAGUAUUUUGGCAGUCGCGCGUGGUUGGGUGCGAGGCCGUGCGCGGCAUGCGCCGCCAGGCGCCGAUGCCGAGUGACGCACGAGCAAGUCGAACGCUAUAGAAAGGUGGUGAGUGUCCAUCCCGAAGCCAUCGGCUCCCUUUUGUCUUAAGUUUAUAUGAUUCAGCUAUGCAUUAAUUGACAUCUUGGCAUUGUGGGUAUAAAUGAGGUGUGGUUCUAUACCUUGCAUGUUCCUUGGUAAAUAAUAUUUGGCUAGUAUUUAUAUCUAGCAUGCUUAGGUUUAUAUCAUGUGAUGUGAACCCUAUAAUCGAGAGAUAAGUGUGAUGGGAAUUUAGUAAUGUAUUGACUAUUGCCAUUGGAAAUUGUAAAGAACGAGUGAAUCUAGUUUGAUAGUCAAACAAAGAACGAGUGACAUAUGUGGCAGUCAAGUGUAUAUAAACCUAGGACUAUAUGAUGAUUAAUAACCUAGAGGAAUCAGGGUAUUCUCGAGAUGAGGAUUGGAUCAUGCUCGCGGUCUGUUAAAUCUUGAUGAUGGAACCCACACAAGUAUGCCGCUCCGGCAUGUUGGUCCGCAGGAUGCCAAUGGCAGCGCCAGAAACGGUACCUGGUCCCCGAUAGUGUGAAGUGUAAUUCUCUACCUAUUCGAGAAUGGCUAGUGAGCUGUGGCGAGCCUUCGGUAAGCCAUUGAGAUUAAUAACAAGUAAGUAUGAGUUAAUGAAACGAGGUGAAUAGGUUCACUUGGACAUGAUAACAGGUUAGUGCUUACCUAUUUCAUUGUACAUGCAGUUGGCAUAUAUUAUGAGUGGGCAUAGGUAAGAGUAGUGUUUACUCGCUGUCAUUAUCGCCGUCCUUAUCUAUCUACUAUCGAUUAUCUAACUUCCGAUUGGACCUAGUGGGGAGAACGCGGAGUCGCCGGCGACGAAACCCACUGGAAACUAAGGAAGUUAGUUUCUCACCGCCCAUUUUACUACAGGGCCGAGCGCGAGUUCACACGGCGAGAUCGGGCGUAAGCCCGCCUUAGUGCCCUAGUUUGCAUUAGGCUACUUCCCUAUUUCUGCAUUAGAGUCACCUUUAUGCUUUGGAGAGUAGACGAUGUAUGGAUGUGAGAUAUUCUGCGAGAAGUAAGCAAUGUUCUAUAUUUGGAAGAUGAAGCUUUUAUUAUGUUUUGGAGGUUCAAUUGUAAUCAUUGUAUUAUAAGAAGCGUUGAAUGAAUGUAAUAGAUUAGAUGCGUCUCUCUUUAUCAAUUACUUGUGAGUGUUCUAUACUUGUAUCUUGCUCUUGGUGCGUGUGCACUGAUUGUGCUCUCGUUCUACAUUAUGAUGUGUAUGUAUUCAAGGUGUUUUUCCUGGUGGGACUUGUUGUAUCACUAUCUUGUUGUUAGCCUUGGGCGGACCAGGGAGUGCUGUCCGUCCGGCGUCUUUGAGCGCCGCCGCCCGAACCACAUUGGGUCAGCUGCGACGCGGGCGUGAACACCUAGUUUCAGUGUAUCCUCACUCGUCGGAGAGAUAGAUCUAGCUCACAGUCUGCGUUUAGGGUGUAUAGCCAUCCAUCCCACAAUAAAGGGGAUUUGCUCGUCGAGUUACUCCGGAGGUCUGCGGCGACUGGACCACUUGGAGGUCACGGACCACAAUGGAGUCGGCAGACGGUCCGCCGGCUUGGAGUUGCACUUGGAGCUCCUCCCAACUUUGGAUUGAAAGCUGUCAGCCCCGCAGACGCUACCAUUGGUCCGUCCGUGCGCGUCGAACAGACGCCGGACGGACACAGCACCUCCCUGUCCGCCCAAGGCUAAACACAGGAUCAUGUAAAACUAGUUCCCUAGGAAAUCAAACUUGCAAUACAUACAAUGAUCAAACAUAGCGAGGGCACAACCAGUGCCGAACUUCAAGAGCCAAAGAUCACAAGUAUAUAACAAGUGAAUAAAAGAAAGAGAUAUUAACUAUCUAUACAUUCACAUUUGACAUUCAACAUUUCAUCCAUUCAACCUUUAAUACAACUUUGAUUAUAUUUAAGCCCUCCAAAACUGAAUACAUAGAUGCAUCUACAUGGAAUAAUGCUACGCUAUCCAAAAUUAAUAUGUCAUUAUAACCAUGCACAACGAGGGUGACUCUUUACAUAGGAAAGCUCUACUAGCUAGCUAGGGCGGCUACAUGCCCUACCUCGAUACCUGCCUCGGUCGCUCACGUGUGUACUUACCUUCCAAAAACACACGGGGUUGAAAUAAUAGUAAAUAUAGUUCCCAGUGGCUUCGCCGCGCACUCCGCCGAUUUCCACUAGGGGGUCAAGUUGUGCACAGAUAGAGUAGACUAGAGAUACAUUGGAAAUUAAAACUGCUACCUAUAUCUUACUAUGCCAAUUCAAAUGCAAGGAAUGCAUGCGAAUAUCAUUUAUCAUGCUACGUAUGCUUUAAUAAUGUAAUGAAACAAAUACGACACAUAUGCAUUCCACUAACAUUACUAUGUCGUAAUCGUGGUAUAAGUCAAAUCUGCUUAUCAAUUCAUGUCAUUUACCCAAUCCACUAAGGUACCCCGCCUUUCUCAAAUCACAUAAGGUCGAAGGAUACCCCGCCCUUGUUUUCACCGUCAACAACUCUAAACACAUAGGUAAGGAGCACUACCCCGCCUCGUACCCGACUCCAAGAUCUCAAGUCCUAUAGAUGAAGAGCUACCCGGGGUCCGCCCAACCAUGACUCAAAUGCCUAAGGCGCAAGAGCUACCCGCUCUUCGCCGACUCUAACUCAAACUACAUAGUCAAGAGCUCCGCUCGUAGAUAAAGAGCUACCCGCUCGUAGUAAAGAGCUACCCCGCUCAUAGGUAAGGAGCACCCCGUCAUCAGGUAAAGAGUUACCGCACGUCAAAGUAAACGAGCUACCCCGCCUCAAAUCUAACAGGUGAAGAGCUACCCGCCCUUCCACCUGCACUCAUUCUCAGUCCAUAUGGGUAUGGGCAGCGACCUCCGCUCGUAAUCCCCACCCGAUGAGCUACCCCGCUCAUGAGCUAACCCCCUCGGUGACAAUCUUCAAGUUCCACAACACUAGGUUGUAAUGCUCAACCUAUGUUUAACAACAUUAUAUAAUGCCACUCGAUCUAUCCUAUGCUGUUCGCGACACUAGGUUUACGAUGCCACAUUGCCUCAUAAUUAACAAUAGGUUAACAUUCAAUUUCAUCUAGCAUAUAUGUUCUAUAGAAAGCCAACAUGCAUCAUAAUUGCUAAUAUGCCAUUUAUCACAGCAUGCAAUCCUUUCAUAAUGCACUACUGCAAUACAAUCUCCCAUCACACUAUGUCACAUGUCACGAGUUCAUUAACAAGCCAAGUUUCUUUAUUCCUUAUCUACAUAGAUUCAUGUCUCAACUUAAUCAUCAUGCAUUCUACGAGUUUUAAGUGUCAAGUCUAUAAUACUACACAACUAGACAUGCGAAUGCAAGAAAAUUAGAAAUUAUAACUAUCUAUAUCUAUAACUCAUAAGAACCACUAUUAUAUAAAUCAUGAUCAACUAUUUUACUCGGACAUAGAAGGAAGCGCCAUUGCUGUCGGAUAGACACCCCCACCUUUUAACAACAUUCCGAUUGCCGCUCUCACUCGCAAUCGCGUCCACGCGGCGGCACGCCGCUCGCCUCGACCGCUAUCCGCUGCGCGCCACCAAACGACCUCCGAUCACGCGAUGCCGAAAUUAUAGGUCUUCGCUUUCUCGCUAACGGUGCUCAAAUCCCGUUCCACGAUUUUAUGGAAGCGCCUCGACUCCCCAAGGUCAUAUGAACUCGACGCAACACUUGAUCAGCCGGACGUCGCAUCCGCUCGACAAUCGACGAACGCCUCGCUUCCUACGCGUUCGAGACGAAACAAUUAGGUAGUUCUGUGACCACUCAAAAUAGAUCAAACUCCAACUACUUACAAAAACCCACAUUUUUAACCCAUACGGUUUGCGGCAAUUAGUAAAAAUCCACCAUUAGUGGCUUUGAAUUUUAAGCUUUGAAUCAUCUAUUAAGCAUCAAAAGGUCCACUAAAUCCAUUUAUUACAGGAUUAAAACCUAGCUCUAGCUAACUCUACCAUUAAAGCCCUCAUUUUGGACCAUAUAUCUGCAACUACAUGGAAAAAUCCCCAUUAAGCUUUGGAUUCAAGUAUUAAUCAUGAGACUACCUGCUAGCAUUCCAUCUAAAUCAUUCUUAGAGAUGAAACCAACCUAAGAAAAUCACCAUUAGAGCUUAAGCCUACCUUCUGCAAAGCUUACUCCCAAACCCAAGAACAAGAUGAAGAAUGGUGAAGUCCACCUCUUGACCUUCUCUCCUUCUUCUUUCUCCCUUCUUAUCUCUUCUCCCUUCUGUUCUAUUUCGUUUAGAGAGAUUUGAGAGAGGGAGAGAGUAAUGUGAGGGAGUGAGGGAAAUGAGAAAAGAAGAGAGAAUAGACAUGCUCUCUUAAUCCCCUCUUGCAUAUUGUACAUUUCAAUAAGCCCCUCUAAUCUUCUCCAACCUGCAACAGCCCAAACUGGGUGUUUUCUGCUCGGGCACUGGACCCCCUGGUGAUGAGACCCGUCCCCGACGACCAGAAUUCAGGCAUUUUCAGACUUAGCAAAUUUUUCAGCCUUUUUCGUUUCGGGUGCCGUCUUUCGCUCGUUUUUUGCUCGUUUGACCUCCGAUUCUUUUCAAUCGAAACCGGAGACUCUCCAAACAUGUUUUCGAGCAUGUUUCCAUUCAUACUCGUUCAUCUCCGCUAAUGCCGGAUUUAGUUCAUGGUUCACGACAUUAGCCUUUCGGAUCCCGUUCCGCGCUACGCCGCCAGCGCGAAUCGCCCGAUUCACUCCGAACUUCACCAACUUCACGGAAACCCUUCAAAUGGCUCUCCAACCAAAUUUAACACGCAAUAUUCAUAAUUUUAGAAGUCCGGACCUUACAGAAAGAUGGGUUCAUGGGCGAGCCCUAAGGCCUCGCCACAGAUUGGGUGAUGAAAGUUAAAGGUUAAUGAAUGUCAUUGAACAUAGCCUAUUCUCGAACAUGUGAUCGAAUUAGUUAGCGAUGGUACAAACCUUAUUAUAUAUGCAUGCUAUCACUAUUCGAAUGAUUAUGGAUGGUAGCUAUAGUUUUCCUACUACCGCAUUAACAGCUUUUCAUGAAUAUUAUCUAUCUAUCUCCUGUUGUUGCUGUGCCCAUUGGACCUAUGUGGGAGCUCGCAGAGUCGGGCCGAGCCACUGGGAACUGAUGGAAGAUAUUCUCACCCACUUUAUUCCGUGGUAGGUACCGGUUGCCGAGAGAAGGACCGCGCAAGGGCAUCGCGCCCCGAUCAGUUGACCGUGCGUAAUAAAAUAGAUAGCUUUCCUUUUUGCAUUAGCACACUCUCAUGUUUGAGAGAGAUUUCAGGUAGGUGAGAUUGGAGCUAAUGUAUUUUGAGGAUCAAUGUAUUUCAUUUUGGAAAAUGAUGUAAAUGUAAAGAAUGUAAACUAUUAUAAUAGUUAGUUUAGAAAGCAUAAGGAAUGGAGCUACUAUGCAAUCCUACAAUGCAACAUGAAGAGAUGAGAUCAAAUGCAAUCUAAGACAUAGAAAGGAGUUCGAAAGCUUCGGGAUGACACCCCCCACCUUUUACCAACGUAGAGGUUUUAGAAGCGCUCCUCGACGAGCUUUACGAAAAGGCUUUUGCCUUCCCUAAUCCAAGAUAGCGCCGAAACGACCGUAAUUCGCCGAUUGUUCUAAGUCCGCUCGACGAAUCGCGAAAUCGACUUCGCCCCCGCGUUUGGGCACCUAUCGAUGAGGUUUACAAGGCCUCAAAUGAGAUCAAUCUCAUACUUUACAAAAUGCCCCCAUUUGGAGCCCUAGGUUUGCACAUAUAGCAAACCACCAAUAAAAUCCUAGAUUCUUGGGAUUGAUCUACUUAGAAGCAUGCUUGGGGUCCAUUUGACCCAUUCCAAAGCAUAAAACCCAAAAACCCUAAGUUUACAAAGCUAGGGUUUAGUAGCUUACCUCAAGAGCUACACCAAUGGGAAGAGGAGAGGGAGAUGGAGGUGCUCAAAGCCUUCCUCUUGAUCUCCUUCUUCUUCUCCUUCCUUGUCUUCCUCUUCUUUUCCUUCCUCUCCUUCUUGUUCUCCUUCUCCUUCUUUCCUUUCUAGAGAGAGAGGGAGAGAAAUAGAGAGAUGAGAGUGAGAGAGAGGAAUGAGAGAGUGUGAGGGAGAGAGAGGGCCCAGCCCACUCUAAUAAAGGCCAUUUUGCAUUUAGACCCCUCAACUUUUAACCCCUUGCGCAGCCCUCGCUGGGCAGUUUUCGUGCGGAGGGACCGGUCUCCCCGACUUGGGACCGGUCCCCGAGAGCGUCCCUCGGGCGCACGCGUUCGAGUACCGGUCUCUCCCCGGGAGACCGGUCCUCGGGAGACAGGUCCUCGCCUGAGAGACCGGUCCCCGAGAGCUCAAUUUUCAGGACUUAGCCAAAUCUCGGCAUUUCUCGCUGGAACCACGUUCGGGAACCGGUCCCUCACUGCCAGGGACCGGUUGCACCAUGCAACCCCGCACGCCCAGCCGAUGGGACCGGUCUCUCACCUCCAGAGACCGGUCCCCGAGAGCAACUUCAGCCCAAUAAUGCUGUUUGCAUCGUUAGCUCUCGUGGACUCAACUCCAAAGCACUUUUUGUGUUUUGGACAUUUUUAACUUCCCCAGAGGGUAUUCUCUCGACAAAUAGUCGAUCCUGGACGAAUGAUAACUCUCGAAUUUCGAGAAUUCACUUCCUUACACUUGUUCACCCAAAAGGAGUUGAAUAUGCGGCAACGGCGGUGGUUAGAGUUACUAAAAGACUACGAUGUCACUAUACUAUACCACCCCGGUAAAGCCAAUGUCGUAGCCGAUGCGUUGAGUAGAAAAUCGGCGGAUAACCUAGCGACGGCAAUUACGCCUCAACCGCUAUUGCACAAGGAAAUGCAACGUCUUGGGUUGGAAGUGGUAGCGCCGGGAGUGCCGGCUACACUUGCCGCAUUAGUUGUGCAACCGACCCUACUCGAGAGAAUCAAAGAGUCACAAGCUUCGGAUCCGUAUCUCCAAAAGGUUCGAGGUGAAGUUGAGAAAGGUAGUGCCGAAGAUUUUGGCAUUGGAGCUGAUGGCGCACUUCGAUUCCGAAAUUGAUGGUGUGUACCAAAAGAGGAUGAGUUACGAAGGGCAAUCAUGCAAGAAGCACACCAAUCCCCUUAUAGUAUACACCCCGGCGGCACCUAAAUGUACAAGGACUUAAAAGAGCAUUAUUGGUGGCCGGGCAUGAAAAGAGAUAUUGGGGAAUUCGUGGCGCAAUGUCUAACGUGCCAACAAGUGAAAGCCGAGCGCCGAUUCCCGGCAGGAAAGCUACAAAGUUUAUCUAUACCCGUUUGGAAAUGGGAAGACAUAGCGAUGGACUUUGUUACUGGUUUGCCUCGAUCACAAGGCGGACAUGAUGCGAUAUGGGUGAUAGUGGACCGAUUGACAAAGUCGGCACAUUUCUUGCCGAUACAUACUACGUGGUCGGGAGACAAGUUAGCUCAAGUCUAUCUCGAUGAGGUUGUGAGGCUUCAUGGGGUGCCGGUAUCAAUUGUAUCGGAUCGAGACCCCAGAUUCACAUCCCAUUUUUGGAAGCGUUUGCAAGACGCGCUAGGCACACGGCUCAACUUUAGCACGGCGUUUCAUCCUCAAAGUGAUGGACAGUCGGAGCGAACGAUACAAAUCCUUGAGGACUUGCUUCGAGCGUGUGUGCUAGAUUAUAGAGGAGGAUGGCAUGAUUUCUUGCCUAUGGCGGAGUUCGCCUAUAAUAACAGCUAUCAAGAAAGUAUCGCUAUGGCGCCGUUUGAGGCACUAUAUGGACGUAAGUGUCGUUCUCCUAUCCAUUGGAGCGACGUGGGCGAGAGAGCGGCUCUUAGCCCAGAUGUAGUGCGGGAGGCGGAAGAGAAAGUUCGUCUUGCCCGUCAACGGUUGGCGACGGCGCAAUCUCGGCAAAAGAGUUAUGCCGACAAGCGAAGAAAGGAUUUAGAGUUCGCGGUUGGAGACCGUGUAUUUUUGAGAGUGUCGCCAAUGCGAGGAGUCAAACGAUUUGGGGUCCGCGGGAAGCUAAGUCCCCGGUAUGUCGGACCGUUUGAGGUAUUGGAGCGUGUAGGUGCGGUAGCGUACAAGUUCGCCCUACCACCGAAACUCGCGGGAGUUCACAACAUGUUUCAUGUGUCCAAUCUCCGAAAGUAUAUUCGCAACUCGACACAUGUAUUAGAGUACGAGCCCGUAGAGUUACGCGAAGAUAUGUCUUAUGAGGAGUACCCGGUGUGCAUCCUCGAUCGAGAAGAAAGAAAGCUGCGGAGUCGCAGAAUUCCAUAUGUGAAAGUCCAGUGGAGCAACCAUGCGGCGAGAGAAGCCACUUGGGAGCUCGAGGAGACCAUGCGGCGAGAGUAUCCGCAUCUAUUUGAGUCGACGAGUUAAGGUAUGCGUAAUUUCGCGGAGGAAAUUAUUUUAAGGGGUGGAGAAUGUAAUAUACCGAAAAUUCGAAAAUAAAAUAUCGAACUUUAGUCAAAUUGACCAAAGUGCGAGGAUGGUACACUUCGGAAAGUCCGAAGGUGUUAAAAUAAUUAAAAGUGAGUUAUGGGAGGUUUUCGAGAGCUUGGGAAUCAAAUUCUGCAAAACUGCAGAUUUUGAGCUCUCGGGGACCGGUCCCUGGUGGGAGAGACCGGUCCCCGAACGCGUAUGAAGUGAGACAGCCGAAAAAUCGGCAAAGUCCUGAGAAAGUAGCUCUCGGGAACCGGUCCCUGCCUGAGAGACCGGUCCCCGAGAGACCGGUCCCCCAAGGAGAGACCGGAUGCAUCGCGCGCAGCAGCCCUGCGCUGCGCUGGGACAACCUUCGAGAACCGGUCCCUGAAGGAGAGACCGGUCCCUGCCUGCGCGAACUGCCCAGUUCGGGCAGUGUAUUAAAGUGAAAGUUGAGGGGUUUAGUUGCAAUUUGGCAACCCAAUAGCUAUGUUAUGGGGCCUAAUGAGAUAUUUCUCUCAUUUCCUCACCCUCUCACACUCUUUUCUCUCCCUCUCUCUCUCUAGAAGACAAAGGAGAGGAAGAAGACAAGGAAAAAGAAGAAGAAGAAAGUGAAGAAACUCCCUCUCCCUCAUCUCUAGCUUGGAAAAGGAGAGCUUACAAGGUAAGCUUUGAACCCUAAUCAUGGUAGAACCUAAUCUAGGGUUUGGAUUAAGCUUAAAAUGGGUUUUAUGGAAUCAUUUGAGUCUUUUGAAGCUUUCUUUUGCUUCUUUAGAGAUCAAGACUAUGGCAUGAGUGUGUUGGGUGAAGCUUGAGGUGAGCUUGACCCCUCUCAUGGUGAAAUCCAAACUAGGGUUUGGAGUGAGCUAAGAAUGGUUUAGAUGGACUAUUUAGAGUAUAAUGAAGCUAAUUUUGCUUCUCAAUGAGAUCAAACCCUAGGUUUGAUAUAUGUAUUGGAGCUAGGGCACCAAAUUGGGGCUUUUGCUCAUAGAGAUUUAUAAGUGCAAUUGACCCUCUAGAAACCUAAUUGGGGGUAUUUCCGAUGCGUUGGUGCGCUCGGAAAAGCAUUUCGAAAAGUGUACGUAAAGUUAUGAGCAAAAUGGCCUAAGAUGGCUUCGUUUUGCUGCAGGUAAAGAACGGGGAAUCUAAAAAUCUCAAGAAAAUUGUCGGAGCACCUAAGUAAACCUAUGAGGUGGGUGGUGCUUUCCAAACUUAUUGAAAUUCUCUCUAUGCCUAAUGUGUCAUUCAUUUGAGCAUAUGUUAUAUAAUUGUUGCAUGCAUUUAGGGUUAAGUAAUGAAAAGAAUGUGAUGUUUGCAUGAUUGUGAGUACAACUUGCAUAAUGAGAUGGUUGAGAACCUUAUGAAUGUUAAGAACCCUAUAUGUAUGCAUGAGAUGAAAAGUGAGUACCAAAGUGAGGCAAAAGAACCGAGUGGCACAUGACAUAGAUCGAGUGGCAUUUGAAAAUGUAAAGUAAAGUGACACUAGAGUUAGUGUGAGGCAAAGAACUAACGUGAGGUAAAGAAUGAUGACAAUGAUCAAAGCUAAAGUAAAGUGAAGCAAAGAACGUGAAAUGAGUAAAGAACAUGAAAGCUAAAGAUAGCCAAAAGCAAAGAAAUGUAAAGAACUUGAUUGCUAGAGUUAGCAACAUAAAGUGAUGUAAAGAACACUAGAGUUAGUGUAAUGACAAGAUUGAACUUACAAUCCUUUGAGUUAAGGAUUCGAUCAUACUUGCUAUGAGUUCCGUGCUCGAGGGCGGUCGCUCCCCCUCGGGCGAUGCGCUCCGGAGUUAUGCAUCACGGGUUGGAGUAAACCCGAAGGACGGUCCUAGCGGGUGAGUUCCUGCGAUGAUGGACUUAAUGUGAAGCAAGCUUAAAGUGGCGAAACCCCCGGGUUAGCCUUGAGAUUAAAGAACAGAGAGCAAAGAGUAAAGGAUAAAGAAUAAAGAACAAAGAGUAAAGACAAAGAAUGAAAGAACUUGCAUAAUUUGCAUAUAUUCAAUGUUGAGCAUAUUUCCUGCUUUUGUUCAGGCAUAUUAGCAUCAUAUUAUAGUUGGUUACUAUUCUACCUAUCCUUUCUAUUAUGCCUGAGUUAGUCCUAGUGGGAAAGUCGGUGAUGUUGAGGCCGAACCCACUGGGAACUUUGUUGUAGUUCUCACCCCACUAUUUCCACAGAGCCGGGACCGAGCGAGCCGGCGAGCGACCGAGGUAAAGGUAUCGCGCCUUAGACAGAGGCCACCAGAGUUGGGUUUACCUUUUGUUAGUAGCUACCCUAUGUUCAUCUUUUCUAUUUGAUGACUAGUGAUGUAAAAAAAAGAAUGUAAAGCUUAAUUGAGAUAAAUGUGAUGUAAGAAUGAAAUGAUGAAAUGAUGUAAUGAAUAGCAAGGAAUCAAGAAUGUAAGAGAAGAAUACAUGUAUGUGAUCUAAAGUGAAUCAUACUACUUGUGUAGAUGUUUAGUUUCCUAUCUUUCACUAAUGGCUAUUGCUUACCCUCGUGUAAGCCAUUUUUGUAUGUUUCCGCUAGUGCAUUUCUUGUUUGAAUUUGUACAUGUGAUGAGCCUUGAACGGAUAGGGGAAACUCUGUCCGUUCGGCGUCGAUUUGACGUGCUCGGGCCGGCCCAAAUUGGUAUCGGUCCCGGGGCGUGACAGUUACGCCCUAACAGUAUAACUUUACAAACAGUACUUUUUCUCAUUCAAUCGAACGAAGAGUAAAACCAAAUUAUAUUAUUCUAUUAUGUCCCAAGAAUGCAAAUUUGCAAUGUAUCGAUGUCAACGUUCACAAGAAUCAAAACCGGAAGAACAUUAGAAUACUCAGUUGCGCCCUAACAGCAUAACUUUGCAAUGAGUACUUUUUCUCCUUCAACCGAACAAAGAAUAAAACCUAAUUAUAUUAUUCUAUUAAGCCCCGAGAGUGUAAAUUUGCAACGUAUCGAUGUCAACGUUCAUAAGAACCAAAACCGAAAAAAUAUUACACUACUCAGUUGCUCCCUAAUAGUAUAAUUUUGCAAUGAGUACUUUUUCUCAUUUAAUCGAACAAAGAGUAAAACCUAAUUAUAUUCUUCUAUUAUGCCCUAAGAGUGUAAAUUUACAAUGUAUCGAUGUCAACAUUCACAUGAACCAAAACCGAUACAACAUUAGACAACUCAGUUACGCCCUAACAAUAUAACUUUGCAAAUAGUACUUUUUCUCAUUCAAUCGAACAAAGCGUAAAACCAACUUAUAUUAUUCGAUUAUGCCCCGAGAAUGUAAAUUUGCAACGUAUCGAUGUCAACAUUCACAAGAACAAAAACCGGAAGAACAUUUGACUUCUCAGUUGCGCCCUAACAACAUAACUUUGCAAAUAGUGCUUUUUCUCAUUCAAUCGAACAGAGAGUAAAACCUAAUUAUAUUGUUCUAUUCUGCCCCGAGAAUGUAAAUUUCCAACGUAUCGAUGUCAACGUUCAUAAGAAACGAAACCGAAAAAAUUUUAAACUACUCAGCUGCUCCCUAACUGUAUAACUUUGCAAUGAGUACUUUUUCUUAUUCAAUCGAACAAAGAGUAAAACCUAAUUAUAUAGUUCUAUUAUGGCCUGAGAGUAAAAGUUUGCAAUGUAUCGAUGUCAACGUUCACAAGAACAAAAACAGGAAAAACAUUAGACUACUCAAUUGCUCCCUAAUAGUAUAACUUUACAAUGAGUACUUUUUCUCAUUCAACCGAACAAAGAGUAAAACCUAAUUAUAUUGUUCUAUUAUUCCCCGAGAGUGCAAAUUUGCAACGUAUUGAUGUCAACGUUCACAAAAACCAAAAUCGGUCCAACAUUAGACUACUUAGAUGCGCCCUAACAGUAUAACUUUACAACGAGUACUUUUUCUUCUUCACUAAAAAAAGAGUAAACCCUAAUUAUAUUGUUCUAUUAUGCCUCGAGAGUGUAAAUUUGUAACGUAUCGAUGUCAACGUUCACAAGAAACAAAACCGAAAAAAUUUUAGACUACUCAGUUGCUCCCUAAUAGUAUAAAUUUGCAAUGAGUACUUUUUAUCAUGCAAUCGAACAAAGAGUAAAACCUAAUUAUAUUGUUCUAUAAUGCACCGAGAGUGUAAAUUUGCAACGUCUCGAUGUCAACGUUCACAUGAACCAAAACCGGAACAACAUUAGACAACUCAGUUGCGCCCUUACAAUAUAACUUUGCAACGAGUACUUUUUCUAAUUCAACUGAACAAAGAGUAAAACAUAAUUAUAGAGUUCAAUUAUGCCCUGAGAGUAUAAAUUGGCAGUGUAUCAAUGUCAACGUACACACGAACCAAAACCGGACCAACAUUAGACUACUCAGUUGCGCCCUAAUAGUACAACUUUGCAACGAGUGCUAUUUCUCAUUCAACCGAACAAAGAGUAAAACCUAAUUAUAUUGUACUAUUAUGUCCCGAGAGUAUAAAUUUGCAACGUAUCAAUGUCAACGUUCACAAGAAUACUCAGCUACGCCCUUACAAUAUAACUUUGCAACGAAUACUUUUUCUCCUUCAACCGAACAAAGCGUAAAACCUAAAUAUAUUGUACUAUCAUGCCCCGAGAGUGUAAAUUUGCAACGUAUCUAUGUAAUGUUCACAAGAACCAAAACCUGAAGAACAUUACACUACUCAGUUGCGCCCUAACAGCAUAACUUUGCAAACAGUGCUUUUUCUCAUUCAAUCGAACAAAGAGUAAAACCUAAUUAUAUUGUUCUAUUAUGCCCUGAGAGUAUAAUUUGCAACGUAUCGAUGUCAACGUUCACAAAAACCAAAACCGGACAAACAUUAGACUACACAGUUGCGCCCUAACAGUAUAACUUUACAACGAGUACUUUUUCUCCUUCAACCGAACAAAGAGUAAAACCUAAAUAUAUUAUACUAUUAUGCCCCGAGAGAGUAAAUUUGCAACGUAUCUAUGUAAUGUUCACAAGAACCAAAACCAGAAGAACAUUAGAUUACUCAGUUGCGCCCUAACAGCAUAACUUUGCAAACAGUGCUUUUUCUCAUUCAAUCGAACAAAAAGUAAAACCUAAUUAUAUUGUUCUAUUAUACGCCGAGAGUGUAAAUUUGUAACUUAUCGAUGUCAUCGUUCGCAAGAACCAAAACCGGACCAACAUUUGACUACACAGUUGCGCCCUAACAGUGUAACUUUACAACAAGUACUUUUUAUCCUUCAACCGAACAAAAGAGUAAAACCUAAAUAUAUUGUAUUAUUAUGCCCCGAGAGUGUAAAUUUGCAACGUAUCUAUGUAACGUUCACAAGAACCAAAACCGGAACAACAUUAGACUACUCGGUUGCGCCCUAACAACAUAACUUUGCAAACUGUUCUUUUUCUCAUUCAAUCGAACAAAGAGUAAAAUCCAAUUAUGUUGUUCUAUUAUAUGCCGAGAGUAUAAAUUUGCAACUUAUCGAUGUCAUCGUUCAUAAGAACCAAACCGGACGAACAUUAGACUACUCAGUUGCGCCCUAACAGCAUAACUUUGCAAUGAGUACUUUUUCUCCUUCAAUCGAACAAAGAGCAAAACCAAAUUAUAUUGUUCUAUUUUGCCCCGAGAGAGUAAAUUUGUAACGUAUCGAUAUCAACGUUCACAAAAACCAAAAUCGGAGCAACAUUAGACUACUCAGCUGCGCCCUUUCAAUAUAACUUUGCAACGAAUACUUUUUCUCAUUCAACUGAACAAAGAGUAAAACCUAAUUAUGUUGUUCUAUUAUGCCCCGAGAGUAUAAAUUUGCAGCGUAUCGAUAUCAACGUUCACACGAACCAAAACCGGACCAACAUUAGACUACUCAGUUGCGCCCUAAUAGUAUAACUUUGCAACGAGUAAUUUUUCUCAUUCAACCGAACAAAGAGUAAAACUAAAUUAUAUUAUUCUAUUAUGCCCCGAGAGUAUAAAUUUGGAACGUAUCGAUGUCAACGUUCACAAGAACUAAAACCGGAAUAACAUUAGACUACUCAGUUACGCCCUAACAGUAUAACUUUGCAAACAGUACUUUUUCUCAUUCAAUCGAACAAAGAGUAAAACCAACUUAUAUUAUUCUAUUAUGCCCCGAGACUGUAAAUUUGCAACGUAUUGAUGUCAUCGUUCACAAGAACCAAAACCGGAAGAAAAUUAGACUACUCAGUUGCGCCCUAACAACAUAACUUUGCAAACAGUGCUUUUUCUCAUUCAAUCGAACAAAAAGUAAAAUCUAAUUAUAUUGUUCUAUUACGGCCUGAGAGUGUAAGUUUGCAACGCAUCGAUGUCAACGUUCACAAGAACCAAAACGAGAAAAACAUUAGACUACUCAGUUGCUCCCUAAUAGUAUAACUUUACAACGAGUAUUUUUUCUCAUUCAACCGAACAAAGAGUAAAACUAAUUAUAUUGUUCUAGUAUGCCCCGAGAGUGUAAAUUUGCAACGUAUUGAUGUCAACGUUCAAAAAAACCAAAACCGAACCAACAUUAGACUACUCAGUUGCGCCCUAACAGUAUAACUUUACAACGAGUACUUUUUCUUCUUCAACCGAACAAAGAGUUAAACCUAAUUAUAUUUUUCUAUUAUGCCCCGAGAGUGUAAAUUUGCAACGUAUCGAUGUCAACAUUCACAAGAAACGAAACCGAAAAAAUUUUAAACUACUCAGUUGCUCCCUAACAGUAUAACUUUGCAAUGAGUACUUUUUCUUAUUCAAUCGAACAAAGAGUAAAACCUAAUUAUAUUGUUCUAUUAUGCCCCGAGAGUGUUAAUUUGCAACGUAUCGAUGUCACGUUUACAAGAACCAAAACCGGAACAACUUAUGACUACUCAGUUACGCCCUAACAGUAUAACUUUGCAAACAGUACUUUUUCUCAUUCAAUCGAACAAAGAGUAAAACCAAAUUAUAUUAUUCUAUUAUGCCCCGAGAUUGUAAAUUUGCAACGUAUAGAUGUCAGCGUUCACAGGAACCAAAACCGGAAGAACAUUAGACUACUCAGUUGCGCACUAACAGCAUAACUUUUCAAUGAGUACUUUUUCUCCUUCAACCGAACAAAGAAUAAAACCUUAUUAUAUUGUUCUAUUAUGCCCCGAGAGUGUAAAUGUGCUUUGGAGCAACCACGACGAGCGCGAGGCCACUUGGGAGUUGGAGAGCGCACUGCGGGAGCGCUAUCCCCAUCUUUUUCAGAUGGAUGCUUGAGGUACUGGUCUUUUCGAGUUUUGCGGACGAAACUCCUUUUUAGGAGGGGUGAAUGUAACCCACUGGACCUUUGCAAAUUGCGAGGUUCGAGUGAUUGGAUGUGUACCGAGCUGUUCCACACUUGGUGGAGGGUCGUAGAAUGUUUUCCGACCUAAAAAGUUCGAACCUGAAUUUUGGAUGAGUCCUGAGAGUUUUUACUCUGGGGGACCGGACCCUGAGAGGAGAGACCGGUCCCCCAGUGAGCAGUGUGCGGCAGCUGGCGAGGCAACCGGUCCCUGGCAGGCGAGACCAGUCCCUGAGCGCGUCUACGCGGGGAGAGACCGGUCCGGUGCGGGGAGAGACCGGUUCCCGAACGUGGUUUUUCUGGGGGCAGGCCGAGAGACCGGUCCCAUGUCGGGGAGACCGGUCCCUCUGGGCGAAAACUGCCCAGUCCGAGCUUUGCACAGGGAGCAAAGUUGAGGGACUUAGUUGGAUUUUGUUACACUAGAUGGCCUAUAUGGCCACUCCACUCUCCCUUCUCCUCAUUUCUCCCCUCACACCCUCUCCACACCUUUGUUAGAGAGAGAAGAAGGAGGAGAAGAAGAAGGAGAAGAAGAGGAGGAGGAUCUAGCUUGGACUUGGAGCUUUUCUUUUUCCUCUCCUUCUCUUCCCACCUUGUUGUUGCUUGAAGGCUUAGACUUGGAGCUUGCAAGAGAGGAGACCUUCACCCUCGGAGCUUGGAUUGAAGCUUCUAAGGAGGUUAGUUGCUCUUUUCCUUCCUCUAGACCUUGAUUUGUUGGUUUUUAGGAGAUGGAACCCUAGAAUGGGAUCUUAGGGUU